AUUUAAUUAAAAUUCAGUUAUCGAAGAGGUCGAUAUAUAAAGAGUGAGCAAUUAGGGUUUAUAUUUCCGCCGCAGCUCAGCAGACCGCAGCAUUUUCCCGCAGCCGCAGCACCACUUGGAGGAAGAGCUCUCAGCCGCCGGAGAUCAGCCAUGCCGUCGCACAAGACGUUCAUGAUUAAGAAGAAGCUGGCGAAGAAGCAGAGGCAGAACAGGCCCAUCCCGUACUGGAUCCGCAUGCGUACCGACAACACCAUCCGCUACA